ensembl:lncRNA
GACAGCAGGGGUGGGCAGAGGAACCCUCCCGUCCCACACCACCACCACCACCCUGCCCCACGCCACCACCAGCUGCCUGGUGAGCCCCUGCCAUGGGGAGAUGCCAGCCGCCAUGCCCCAGGCAGAGCUCCUGGGGGGCGAGAGGGUGAGCAGCCGGACCUUCCUGACCCUUGGUGGAUGGGAGGGAGCCCGUCCUGCCCGCAUCAGCCCUCAGGCCAGCAAGGAGGUGGCAGACAGGAGCCACCUUUGGAGCAAGACGUCUCUGCAAGAAACCUCAAAGUCCCCUGCGUCAACGUCAAUACAGAGAAUAAAGCAGAAAACAGGGUGGAAGAGGAAAUUUCAGCCGUGCUUCCUGAAAUGUCUUCAGUAGAGGUUCAAGUGUCUGGGAGCAGCAGCCGGCAGACGUGGGGACAGGAACACCAGCGCGGCAGCCAACACCUCGUGGGGCCAGAACCAGCAGGUGACAACCCAGAGCCGGGGGCGCAAGAGGCCCAGGGGAGCGGGGGCUCGCAGGGUAGGGUGGGUGGCGCGGCUCAGCAUCCCGGCAGCCUUUCCCAACGGCGGGACUCCUGCCACAGCUGGCAGCGGGUCUCCAACGGGGGCAGCUGGCAGUCCCUGGGGAUGGAGCCCUGCCCGGGGGACCAGCCCUGGCAGAGCGGCUGGCAGCCGCAGCGCCGGGACUCCCAGCUCAGCGCGGACUCCAGGGAGAGAGCCGAGCAAGCCCGGGGCACCGCCUACAGCCCUGAGGAGGGGGCCGUCUGGAUCAGCCGAAGGACCACCAGGACAGUGACCAACAGGAGCCAGCAGACGAGCCGAGUGUGGAGCCAGAAGGCGGAAAACCCGAGGUCCCCCGCUCAGAAAUCUGCCAUCAGCAUCGGCGCAGAGACCAGGUCGGUGAAAGGGGUGGGAAAGGAAAUCUCAGAUACCUGCCCCGAAACGAGGAGCCAGACAGCAAGGCAGGGGUCACGGCGCGGCAGCCAGCUGGCACCAGGGCAGGGAUCGUGGUGCGGCAGCGAGAAGGUGCCGGGGUGGGAUUCUCGGCGCGGCAGCCAGCAGGUACCGGUGCAGGAGUCGCGGUGUGUCAGCGAGGAGGGGCCGGGGUGGGAUGCCCUGCCUGGCAGCCAGCAGCUCCCGGCGUCGCGGCGUGGCAGCCAGCAGGUAUCAGGGCAGGACUCGUGGUGGAGCAGCCAGCACUCGUUGGGGAGGGACUCGUGGUGGGGCAGCCAGCAGACAUUUGGGCAGGAGUCACGGCACAGCGGCCAGAAGGUACCACCAGAGCAGCAGUUUCAGCCCCAGCAGCCUGGAGAAAAGAAACUGGAGCUAUCUGAGAAACCCUCUGACGGUGGCCUGCUGCUGGUGCUCCAGCUGCAGUGCAACAACCUCCAGGGGAUAGAGGUUUUGGUGGAGGAGCAUGCGGCUAAACCUUGGAGGAAGAGAAGUCAGGAAAGAGUCGAAGGCGGCACCUUGCAGCUGUCCCAGGGCUCCACGGCUGAGCAAGGGGAAGCAUGGCAGACCUUCAACCUCUUCUCUCAAGAAGGAGGGACCUGGACGGGCAGAACAGGGAGAAUUCUGAUCAGCUGUGAUGAGGAAACUGGUAACACUGUGAUCCAGAGUAUCCACGAAACAUCUCAGCACCCACCGGGACAGCCAUCCCAAAGCAAAGGGGCCACCAGCGUCCCCGAGGAGAGCGGUGGAGCAGACACAGAAAAGCUGAAGGUGGUGGGACGAGGGUCCUGGCACAGUGGUGGGACAGACAGAGGUGGGGAAGCUGCCUCAGAGCUCCCAGCUGCCUCCCAAAGCCCUGGGGGUCUACUGAGCAUGGCCGUAAACAUGGAAAUGGUUCACGAGGCUCAGCAGACCCACAGUGUUAUUACUCUGGAUGAAGGACUCUGGGUCAGGAGGCGAACGGGCAAAUUGCUGCGGGAGAAAAGCCAGCAGACCAGCAUCACUGCUCUGCGGAAGAGCAACAGCGCGGUGCAGGAACAGAGGGGACGGGGGGGCAGCAGCUUGGGGCAGCGGGAGGGGGGCGAACCCCAGAACCACCCACCAGAGCUGGAGGUGCCAGAACCUCCUCGGCGAACCUCCUCGCGCAGCAGCCAACUGUCUGGGCCACAGCUGAUGGGGACGGCCGGAGGAACUCCAGUGUGAUCCCUGGCUGUGACGGGCAGCCAGGGUCUGGGUUGCAGAGGCUUGAAGAGGAACCGGGCAACGAAAAUCUGUGGGGGCAUGAGGUACUGAAACCAUCAUCUGGGACAGGACAGGAAAAGUGAAGAAAAACAAAGACCAAAAAUCACAGCAAAGGAAAAAUUGAGCUGCAAGGUGUCAAAAGGAAUAAACCCACAUAAAGCAGAAAAAAAUAAUUAAAA